AAAGAAGGGUGUCUCCGAGCAUUUGCUCAGACGGCCUUUCCUUCACCGCUGAGAUGGCGCAGCGUCAAGGACCACCUGUCCGCUUGAGCUGAAUGAACAAGGCUUUCAAGGUAGAUCGUGGGGCUUCCAGUCAGGCGUUUUAGCAAGCACAUCUCUCUUGAGAUGCGCGAUAACCCGACCAGUACCUGAAGGGGAACUGUGCCCAGGACGUUUGUUAAAAUUCUCUGGGGCUUCGGGUAGAGUUCUAAAACCUCUCCCUUCCCUAACCAUACGACCUCCGAUUUUUUUAAAAUUCAUUUCGAGUCUGGGGUCUUUUUCCGUCGGGGCAGGGCAGCUCCUUGGGCAGCGUGCGAAUCGCGUUGCCCUAACCGAAUCCAUUCCCUCUUGGAACAAGCGAGGACAGCCCCAGCUGCGUGACGCGCACACACCUUCAUGCCUAUCAGCCGUGGGAGGUAAAGCCAGUGGGACUGGAAUGCUUGGAGCGGCCAGAAGCUUGCAAACCGCAAGGGCGGUUUCCCACCGAGAGCGUCGGGCUCUUUCGGGAAUCCAGCGACAGUAACCCUACAGGGAAAGAUUGGACUACCCAAGUGGACUCGCCCCGAUCCAGGACAGACACGACUGAAAGAGAGAUCCCACCUUCUUCCAUCUACCUCCUGAUUAUGGGUCUUCUGGGAGGAAAUCUUGUGCCAUUCCAGCAAUUUUCUGUCCUCCAGCUCUCCCCCGCAUUUAUCUUAAAUGUGUUUAUUCGGAAGAAAGUGCCAUCGUGUUGAGCGGGAUUUAGCACAGGAAAGUGUGCAAAAUACGAGAACCUUAGUGCCUCGGGGAACCUGUUUAGGUUCCUUAGUCACUUCACUGGAAAUUGCUUCUUAAAAUUCAUUAGAAAGUUGGUCCUAUCCUUGCCUCACACUUCCCGGCGGCUUGCAGACACAGGCCGAGAGAGAGAGAGAGAGAGAGAGAGAGAGAGAGAGAGAGGCAAACUCAAAUCUCUCUCAUCUGUCUUUGUCACGGUUUUCUGAAGGUUUUAUGAAUAUUAAAGCUCAAUAGAAUACUCUUUUAUGUGUAUUUUUUUUCCGCCUGACGCACAACUCAAUACACCAAUCUUCCAAGCUUGGCUUUGUUGUGGCACAGGCUAUUUCCGAAGGAGAGUCUGCAAGAGAUCAAAGUCCAGAACAACAGCGGAAGUUCGGGCAAGGUCCAGGAAACGCCCUCUUUCAUCAGAGCGUCAGAAAGAAUCCCUGGCACGUCCUUUUUUUUUGCUGCGUAGGCAACCUGUCCGGUAUAGCCGCCUUAAGGAAAGCACGCCGGGCGCCUGUAUUCCUGGACUCCACACUGAAAUCCUAUACCGGUCUAGACAGAAAGUAAUCCCCGUUGAGUUGAAUGGGAGUUACUCCCCAGUAAGAUGGAAUCAGGUCUGCGACAAGAGAAAGUCUUGCAGACAAUCAAAGUGGAUCUAACAGCAACAAAUGUUGGCCAUGAGGUGAGAAACUCCUGGGAGCAAUGGGAUGAAAGAGCAAAAUAUUAUUGUCUCCUCAGCGAGUGACAACCAAAUUGUUUUUAUUUGCUCCUCCAAAUCAGGAGAAUUCCCACCACAAGGCCAGAUCCAUUCGAAGAAGCAACCAGUGACCUUUGUUGACAUGUUUACACAAACUGAGCAGGUGACAUCGUCUAAGACCACAGGAAUUAACGAUGUCAUGUCCAGAAUCCAAGUUAUGGAAUUCAAAUUUUUCAGUAAAGCACAGCACUUGGAGAACAGAUUGAAUGCCAUGGAGGACCUCAUGAAAGAAAUGCGCAACAUUUUCAUUGCUGCAAUGGACCAGCGGUUGAAAGCCAUUGAGGACUUAGUUCAAGGUGCACAAGCACUUGCAGGGAUGGCUCCUGUUCACCGUUAAAACGUUGAAGUUAAGGAAGGGCACUUUUAGUUGCUUUAAUUCAAGGGGGUAUUCUCUGUGUUAAUGUUAGCAUGCAACUUUGUGUUGCACUGGUUCUGUCUGUGC